AACGAACGCUGGCGGCGCGCCUAACACAUGCAAGUCGAACGGUAACAGGUCUAGCUUGCUAGAUGCUGACGAGUGGCGGACGGGUGAGUAACGCGUGGGAAUCUGCCUUCUAGUGGGGGAUAGCCCCGGAGAAAUCCGGAUUAAUACCGCAUACGCCCUACGGGGAAGCCGGGGAUCGUUCGGACCUGGCGCUAGUAGAUGAGCCCGCGUGAGAUUAGCUUGUUGGUGGGGUAAUGGCCUACCAAGGCAACGAUCUCUAGCUGGUCUGAGAGGACGAUCAGCCACACUGGGACUGAGACACGGCCCAGACUUCCACGGGAGGCAGCAGUGGGGAAUAUUGGACAAUGGGCGAAAGCCUGAUCCAGCAAUGCCGCGUGUGUGAAGAAGGCCUGAGGGUUGUAAAGCACUUUCAAUCGUGAAGAAAAGUCACAGGCUAAUACCCUGUGACCUUGACGUUAACGAUACAAGAAGCACCGGC
rnacentral:rRNA from 1 species